rnacentral:misc_RNA from 1 species
GACGUUUUGGAUACCAUACAGCAACCGUGGUCACGGGAGGAUACGAAAAAGCUGUUUUAUUAUAAUGAGUGAAAUUCGCGCACAUAUUAGAAAACAAUAUUUGCAAGUUUUUAUUUUAAUUGUUUUUUUUUUUCUGGCUUAUUUAAAUUGUACUCAAGUUUAUUAUGAUGAAAUGAACAAAAUAGUGUAUUUAGAAAAAUCAACAACAAAACAAGGACACGAUUACGCAGCAACUUAAUAUAAUUAUAUAUAUUAUGAGAGAUAAGAGAAUUAAAUAAUUAUUAAAGAACGGAUAACUGAAGAAAAAAUAUUCAAAUAAACAGAAAAAGAAUUCAACUUUCAUUCAAAAGAUUUUCGAAAUUCCGAUUACAAGUUUUCGAUUAAUAAUAUUAUAAAUUUUAUGAACUAUAGGCCUACUUAUAACAUGACGUCAUAAAAUAUUUGGCACAUCUCCACAGUUAACGAUUCUAACACAUAAUUUGUCGAAAGUUUUAUAUAUAACUCGUAAAUAGCGAAGAUCUAGUUCACAUCUAAUAUUGGAGAAGGCGGUCCCGGAUUUUACGAUAUACUGACCUCGUCCCGCUAUUUUACAGUACAGGUUUCCGACACUAAUCUUAACGUAUCCCGAUUUCCAAUAAAAUAAUUAAAUUCUUACUUAUAACAUAUAUUAUCAUAACUCACCAUCAUACAUAUACAGAAAAUAUAUUAAAUAUUACUGGUGAGUGAAUUACAAAAGAUUUUUUUUAUUAAUUUACUAGCUGACCCAGCAAACGUUGUUUUGCCAUAUAUAUUAUUAACCCCCUUAAUUCCCCCCACCCCCGUUGUAACUUAGGUGUAUGAAAAACAGAUGUUGGCCGAUUCUCAGACCUACCCGAUAUGCACACAAAGUUCAUAAAAAUCGGUCUAGCCGUUUUGGAGGAGUUUGGCAACAAACGCCGCGACCCGAGAAUUUUAUAUACCUAUUAGAUUUUUAAAAAUUAAGUUACAAUAAAAAAAUAAAAUUAAAUAAUGUUUACUAAUAAU